rnacentral:rRNA from 1 species
CCUUGACAUACUAAGAACUUUCCAGAGAUGGAUUGGUGCCUUCGGGAACUUAGAUACAGGUGCUGCAUGGCUGUCGUCAGCUCGUGUCGUGAGAUGUUGGGUUAAGUCCGCAACGAGCGCAACCCUUUUCCUUAUUUGCCAGCGGGUAAUGCCGGGAACUUUAAGGAUACUGCCAGUGACAAACUGGAGGAAGGCGGGGACGACGUCAAGUCAUCAUGGCCCUUACGGCCAGGGCUACACACGUGCUACAAUGGUCGGUACAAAGGGUUGCUACCUCGCGAGAGGAUGCUAAUCUCAAAAAGCCGAUCGUAGUCCGGAUCGCAGUCUGCAACUCGACUGCGUGAAGUCGGAAUCGCUAGUAAUCGCGGAUCAGAAUGCCGCGGUGAAUACGUUCCCGGGCCUUGUACACACCGCCCGUCACACCAUGGGAGUUUGUUGCACCAGAAGUAGGUAGUCUAACCGCAAGGAGGGCGCUUACCACGGUGUGGCCGAUGACUGGGGUGAAGUCGUAACAAGGUAGGCGUAGAUGA